AGAAAAGACACAGGAAAGCUGCGUGUGUGAGAGGGAUUGAAAUCACCAAAAGGUUUUUGUUCUGUGUCUACCAUCCUUUACCUAUGGGUCUGGAAGAAUAUUCCUCAUUCCUUUUUUAAGUGGUCGGUUCUCACUCCCACCUGCUUGAUGUCUUUGCUCAGUGUGGAAAUGGCGGCCCGGAAGUCAUCUUGGAUCUCCGUUCUCAGUUCGGUCAAGUGCCAGCACAGCGCCAAGCACCCACUGACAGGGAAGAAACCUUUCAGCAGACCCCUGCACAGGCAGCAAUGCAGAACCUUUUGGACUGAUGUGUUACAUAUGGAUUUGUUCCAGCAAUUUAAAAGGAAGAACUUGUUACAAGAUGUAUAAAAUGUUCCAUGUCAAUUUGCAACAUUGUGCUUUUUCUAAGUGAAGUAGCCAAUAGAUGACGCUAUGUUGAGAGGUAUUAAAUGUGCAUAUUAAUGUGUACUCAGUAGCUUGAGGAAAGGUUGUUGCUGUAUAUCUGUCCGAGAAAUCCCUUUCACUAAAGGCUUUUUAAGAA